GGGUGGGUUUGUGUUUCCGUGUUGGCAGAUCUGGAGUAACGUGAGCUCUGGCAAUAAUGGCAGGCAGGCAGGUCACACAGAGGCCUUCUUCACAAGUCUGUGGUGGGUCAGCUGCAUGAAGGAAGGGAUCAAAGGCAGGAAGGUCUGCUCUUCAGUUUACAUUAGUUUGUUUCUGUAAAAAUGUAAAGUCAGUUCUUUACAUCCAUUUUGACAGUCAAAAAAGGGAGACUGAAUUUUUUCUCUUCUAAAAUUUUUUUCUUGCAACUGGUGAUGAAGAUACACACAGGACAGAGGCGCAGGGUCAGUGUUCUGGUGGGUGAGCUCAUAGCUCUUGGCUUGAAAUAUCACUUCCAGGACCUGCCAGACGCAGUUCCCCCCAGAGGGUUGUGUUCUCAGUUUGUUCAUUGCUAAGUUCCUGUCUGACUUUAUUGUAACUUCUGAAAGGCUAGAUUUCCUCUCUGCUCUUCUCUUCAGCAAUAGGGAAAGAAAAUGGACUUGAGAGUGUCCGGUGAAGGCUGUGAAUUGUUAACUAUCCAGUGUGUCUUCUGUGACUUUAUCUGUUUUUAUUAGUGAGAGCAGAAGGUCUCGUGUAUCCCACUAGUCUGCCCAUGAUCAUAAAGUGACAGGAGCCUGGGUAAAGACUUGGUACCAACAUUGGAUGCUGUCAAGGCUCUCCCUGGCCUGCUCCGAACGGGCUCUCUGCGGAUCUCACACUUGCCCAGUGUCUCUUGGCUAGACCUCCAGUGACUGAUGAGGUCAUUCACUGCUGAGCAGGGACGCACUGCAAGUAAAACAACCCUCGUGGAAAUGUUUUCAUUGCCAUUGUGAGUUUCACAGUAGGUUCAGAAGUGACAUGUGAGCUGUCUGAAACCUAUGUUCAUUAAUGUAGAGUUCACAUAAUCUACAGUUUACCUGUGGUAAAAGUGUGAGUGUUCUUUAAAAAAAGAAAGGAAAAUAAAAAACAAAACAUUUGAAGAGUUGUGCAGCCCUCACCACAGCACAGUUUAGACCGUUUUUGUCACCCAAAAAGAUCCUUUGUUUCUGUGUACACUGUGUAUUGUCACCUAAGCAGCAGUUACCCAAGUUGCCAGGAUAGGGAGAGGAUGAAAAGGGCGACACCAGAGCUUGCUAGGUUUUACUUCUGAGAGUAGAGUGGUGUGUGGGGGUGGGGCGUGUCGGGGUGGGGCGUGCAUGCAGGUGCAUGUGGGUGUGGACGUGCACGUGUGCACAUUUAAGCUCAGGAACAUUUACAUGUUGUAAGUGUGUUAUCUCCAUUAUUGUAACAUAAAAACGAUGUGAAGUGAGGAUGAUACUUGCAUACUUAGAGCGGCUGCUUCUGGAGCAGACCUAUUGCAGGAAAACCCUACAAGCCAUACGUGUAACUCAGAGUAUCCCAGCAGAGGCUGGGAGGUGAUGGUAGUGAAAGAGCGUUCUCUGCUCUUGCAAAAGUACCUGGGGCUGGGGGAAGGGCUUAUAGCAGUCCAUAGCUCCAGUUCUGAAGGAUCUUGUGCCCUCUGGCCUCUGCAGAUGCAGGCAUGUGCACAGUGCUUAUACACACAUCCAAAAAAACCCACUCAUUCAUAGAAAGAAAAAAUACACAGCUGAAACUAAUUGUAGCAAUGUUUUCUUUGACUCUAUAUCCAAAGUAUUUCAGUACACAGCUGAUGUAAAAGAUAUUGCGAUAGCUCACUGUGUCUAUUAACUCUUGGAAAUAAGGUGGGUAUUCUGUGCUGGGACUCGCCAUAUGGCAAGCACUCAUUGUCCACAGGAGGCCUGCAGCUGUUAUCAUGACUCACACAAGCCUACAGUAGCUUUCAUUUGCCUUGCUGUAAGAUGAAGUGGACAAUUCCUGAAUUGUUCUCUUCACCAGAAUCUUUUAUAGCUGAGCACUUUCAGUGCUUGCUGCACACGGUGUCUGCUUUAGAAAUGUGCAUAAAUAAAUUACUGAUUUCCAGUAAAUUUAAAAAUUAUUGCCUCAAAAUUAUUUUCACUAAAAGUAACUUUUGAUAGGACCGUGAAGGAGAAACAGAAUAACCACUCACAUUGCCGUGCAGAUGAACAUUUCCUGUAGCUUACAGCUUGCUGAGGAAAUGUGUGUACUCUGGAAAUACGUGCCCUAGUGUCGUGUUCAGGACACACUGCUCUUUUAAGAUGAAAUUAGUUUUAUAUAAGUGACAUUUUGGUAGGAAAUACUGGGUUUUGCUUAAAAAAAAAUUCUUGCCUACUCUUGAAUGACUAAAGCAAUACUCAGCAAAAAAAUAAUAGUAGAAGUAUUCUUAGAUUUCUGUGCUAUAAACCACUGGAGUAUUAUCUUAUAAAUACCAGGAUUUCUUUCUUGUUCCAUGAACACAAUGGGUGUAUUUGAAACUGGGGGGUUUCAAGUGUAAAUCUAUAUCCUAGGAUGUUUCCCCUUUAUCUUCUUGUCUUUUCUACUUGAGGAUCAUUUGACUGAUACUUAGUGAGCUAAACUAAUGUCUCAAGGUUAAGACUGUACCCGAGGUUCUGGAGAAGCAGAGACAACACCCCAGUCUUUGUCACUCAUCUCUCUAUUAGGUCUGAGAAAUCCCCUUUGCUGUGGAUGGCAGUUUUGUAUGUUUAUGAGAGCACAGUAGCCCCUUUAGGACCAGAUGCUAAAUUAAAUGGCUGUUGUAGCUUUCUAGACCAAAAAAGAGAGGCUAACAGAACCAGAGAAGCAGAUGGAAAUCUGGAUUUAAUGAGGACUCCUUUAAAAGUUACAUGAACACUUGUCCAGGCCCUUCCAUCCUUCCUUCUUUUCCUGUGAUACCGAGGCCUGGUGCAUGCUGGGACUGAGCUACACUUCUGGCCCCCUCAGUGAGCACAUGGGACUUGUAAGAGUAUAGAGUGGCAAGAUCUGAGCAUAGAAGAAGGGAGUCCUCCUCCUACAGUGCAGGGCUGGAGUUACGGUUUUGUCGUCACUUUAUUUCCAGGGAUUGUAUAAGUACUGCUAUGUACUAAAUAAAAAUUCAUCUCUUGCAGUCCAACAAAUGAUGUAUUAUAUUAAGAUAAUUUUUAGAAAGUUUAUCAUUUUAUGAAUCUGUAUAUGGAAUUAGAAUAAAGGACUGCUGAU
rnacentral:lncRNA from 1 species